rnacentral:tRNA from 1 species
AGGUAGUUAGUUUAAUUAAAACUCUUGAUUUCGGCUCAAAAGCUCGUGGUUAAACUCCAUGACUUCCUA